CAGGACAGAACAACAGGCUCCCAGAAUCCUACAACAACACCACCAGAGGAGCAUUUCAGAGACCACCGAAGGCUGGCGAGUUCCCUGAGGCUAGUGGGUCCCCAAACAGGAGCAAGAGCCCAGGUGGGGGCUGGGAGGG
ensembl:misc_RNA